GGGCCCAUAGCUCAGUUGGUCAGAGCAGCCGGCUCAUAACCGGACGGUCCCAGGUUCGAGCCCUGGUGGGCCUA
rnacentral:tRNA from 1 species